rnacentral:rRNA from 1 species
UGGAUGAUGUGGUUAAUUCGAUGCAACGCGAAAACCUUACCACCUUUGACAUGGCAGGAAUCCCGAAGAGAUUGGGAGUGCUCGAAAGAGAACCUGCACACAGGUGCUGCAUGGCUGUCGUCAGCUCGUGUCGUGAGAUGUUGGGUUAAGUCCCGCAACGAGCGCAACCCUUGCCAUUAGUUGCUACGAAAGGGCACUCUAAUGGGACUGCCGGUGACAAACCGGAGGAAGGUGGGGAUGACGUCAAGUCCUCAUGGCCCUUAUAGGUGGGGCUACACACGUCAUACAAUGGCCGGUACAGAGGGUAGCCAACCCGCGAGGGGGAGCCAAUCCCACAAAGCCGGUCGUAGUCCGGAUCGCAGUCUGCAACUCGACUGCGUGAAGUCGGAAUCGCUAGUAAUCGCGGAUCAGCAUGUCGCGGUGAAUACGUUCCCGGGUCUU